CCUACGGGAGGCUGCAGUGAGGAAUAUUGGUCAAUGGACGAGAGUCUGAACCAGCCAAGUAGCGUGAAGGAUGACUGCCCUAUGGGUUGUAAACUUCUUUUAUAUGGGAAUAAAAUGUUGUAUGCGUGGGCUUUUGUAUGUACCAUAUGAGUAAGGAUCGGCUAACUCCGUGCCAGCAGCCGCGGUAAUACGGAGGAUCCGAGCGUUAUCCGGAUUUAUUGGGUUUAAAGGGAGCGUAGGUGGAUUGUUAAGUCAGUUGUGAAAGUUUGCGGCUCAACCGUAAAAUUGCAGUUGAAACUGGCAGUCUUGAGUACAGUAGAGGUGGGCGGAAUUCGUGGUGUAGCGGUGAAAUGCUUAGAUAUCACGAAGAACUCCGAUUGCGAAGGCAGCUCACUGGACUGCAACUGACACUGAGGCUCGAAAGUGUGGGUAUCAAACAGGAUUAGAUACCCGGGUAGUC
rnacentral:rRNA from 1 species